rfam:Stegodyphus mimosarum contig36999, whole genome shotgun sequence.
GCCUUCGUUUUGUAAUCGUCAGCACACUCGACACGUAACCGAGAGGUCCGUGGUUCGAUUCCCGGCGAAGGCG